UGUCUAAGUAUAAGCAACUAUACGGUGAACCUGCGGANGGCUCAUUAAAUCAGUUAUCGUUUAUUUGAUAGUACCUUACUACAUGGAUAACCGUGGUAAUUCUAGAGCUAAUACAUGCUAAAAACCUCGACUUCGGAAGGGGUGUAUUUAUUAGAUAAAAAACCAAUGCCCUUCGGGGCUCCUUGGUGAAUCAUAAUAACUUAACGAAUCGCAUGGCCUUGCGCCGGCGAUGGUUCAUUCAAAUUUCUGCCCUAUCAACUUUCGAUGGUAGGAUAGUGGCCUACCAUGGUAUCAACGGGUAACGGGGAAUUAGGGUUCGACUCCGGAGAGGGAGCCUGAGAAACGGCUACCACAUCCAAGGAAGGCAGCAGGCGCGCAAAUUACCCAAUCC
rnacentral:rRNA from 1 species